rnacentral:rRNA from 1 species
GAUUGAACGCUGGCGGCAGGCCUAACACAUGCAAGUCGAACGGUAACAGGAAGCAGCUUGCUGCUUCGCUGACGAGUGGCGGACGGGUGAGUAAUGUCUGGGAAACUGCCUGAUGGAGGGGGAUAACUACUGGAAACGGUAGCUAAUACCGCAUAACGUCGCAAGACCAAAGAGGGGGACCUUCGGGCCUCUUGCCAUCGGAUGUGCCCAGAUGGGAUUAGCUAGUAGGUGGGGUAACGGCUCACCUAGGCGACGAUCCCUAGCUGGUCUGAGAGGAUGACCAGCCACACUGGAACUGAGACACGGUCCAGACUCCUACGGGAGGCAGCAGUGGGGAAUAUUGCACAAUGGGCGCAAGCCUGAUGCAGCCAUGCCGCGUGUAUGAAGAAGGCCUUCGGGUUGUAAAGUACUUUCAGCGGGGAGGAAGGCGAUAAGGUUAAUAACCUUGUCGAUUGACGUUACCCGCAGAAGAAGCACCGGCUAACUCCGUGCCAGCAGCCGCGGUAAUACGGAGGGUGCAAGCGUUAAUCGGAAUUACUGGGCGUAAAGCGCACGCAGGCGGUCUGUCAAGUCGGAUGUGAAAUCCCCGGGCUCAACCUGGGAACUGCAUUCGAAACUGGCAGGCUAGAGUCUUGUAGAGGGGGGUAGAAUUCCAGGUGUAGCGGUGAAAUGCGUAGAGAUCUGGAGGAAUACCGGUGGCGAAGGCGGCCCCCUGGACAAAGACUGACGCUCAGGUGCGAAAGCGUGGGGAGCAAACAGGAUUAGAUACCCCUGGUAGUCCACGCCGUAAACGAUGUCGACUUGGAGGUUGUGCCCUUGAGGCGUGGCUUCCGGAGCUAACGCGUUAAGUCGACCGCCUGGGGAGUACGGCCGCAAGGUUAAAACUCAAAUGAAUUGACGGGGGCCCGCACAAGCGGUGGAGCAUGUGGUUUAAUUCGAUGCAACGCGAAGAACCUUACCUACUCUUGACAUCCAGAGAACUUUCCAGAGAUGGAUUGGUGCCUUCGGGAACUCUGAGACAGGUGCUGCAUGGCUGUCGUCAGCUCGUGUUGUGAAAUGUUGGGUUAAGUCCCGCAACGAGCGCAACCCUUAUCCUUUGUUGCCAGCGGUUAGGCCGGGAACUCAAAGGAGACUGCCAGUGAUAAACUGGAGGAAGGUGGGGAUGACGUCAAGUCAUCAUGGCCCUUACGAGUAGGGCUACACACGUGCUACAAUGGCGCAUACAAAGAGAAGCGACCUCGCGAGAGCAAGCGGACCUCAUAAAGUGCGUCGUAGUCCGGAUUGGAGUCUGCAACUCGACUCCAUGAAGUCGGAAUCGCUAGUAAUCGUGGAUCAGAAUGCCACGGUGAAUACGUUCCCGGGCCUUGUACACACCGC